CUGAACAUUUGGCCGGAUUACACAUAGAAAUGCAAUCCAAAACAAAAUGGGUAAAGAUAAAGCAUGUUUAUUGAUGCGGCAAACAAAGGUUCAAAUAUCCUCCAAAGCACUUCAAGCCCUCAAAGAAUGAAACUCAAAACGCAGAUGAGGUAAAAGAAGAAACUUCUAAAUUAAAGUGGAGCGACCCAGGGACAAGUCUGGUUUGGGUUAAAGAUUAUGGAUGGUUAACUUUGUGUAACGUGUUUGGACAAGCAAGUUUAGGUUUUAGGCAAGCGACUUCAGGUAUUAGGCAAGCGACUUCAGGUAUUAGGCAAGCGACUUCAGGUAUUAGGCAAGCGAGUUUAGCCAAGCGAGUACAGGCAAGCGAGUCAAGCUAAGCGAGUUUAGGUUUUAUGCAAGCGAGUUUAGGUAAGAGAGUCAAGUUACUUUAGGCCUCACUUUAUUUGCGGUUAAAUUGCGGCAUUAGGUUUAGAAAGAAGGUUAAGAUCCAGGCUCAGGUUUGCUUCCAGCCUUGUCCCUCUAGUCGCUCCCUAUAAAGAGGGUUCCCAGCUACCGUGUUAAAAUACAACAGCUGGGAUUACAGAUAUGGAGUACAGAAAUAAAUGACAAAGAUUGAUUCAAACAUUCUUC